UAGGGAAUCUUCCACAAUGGACGAAAGUCUGAUGGAGCAACGCCGCGUGAGCGAUGAAGGCCUUCGGGUCGUAAAGCUCUGUUGUUAGGGAAGAACAAGUACCGGAGUAACUGCCGGUACCAUGACGGUACCUAACCAGAAAGCCACGGCUAACUACGUGCCAGCAGCCGCGGUAAUACGUAGGUGGCAAGCGUUGUCCGGAAUUAUUGGGCGUAAAGCGCGCGCAGGCGGUCCUUUAAGUCUGAUGUG
rnacentral:rRNA from 1 species